rnacentral:rRNA from 1 species
GACAUGUGUGCGCUGAUGUUUAGCGGUCUGCACUCAAAAGAGUGUUACGACAUGCGACAUCGGUGCCGUAAAAUCUUCAACUGGAUCGUGCCUGGUCUUGAUUGAUUGGGCGCUGUUCAUUCGGUUGAUCGUUUACUGUGAGAAAAUUGGAGUGUUCAAGGCAGGCGUGGAUUGCAACUGAACAUGUUAGCAUGGAAUAAUAAGAUAGGGCUCCGGCUCAUAUUUUGUUGGUUUCUAGAGCGUGGGAGUAAUGAUUGAUAGGGACAGUUGGGGGUGCUAGUAUUCAGCGGCCAGAGGUGAAAUUCAUGGAUUCGCUGAAGACUAACUUAUGCGAAAGCAUU